rnacentral:rRNA from 1 species
UACGGAGGGUGCGAGCGUUGUCCGGAAUCACUGGGCGUAAAGCGUGCGCAGGCGGUUCGUUGUGUCGGCGGUGAAAGCCCCGGGCUUAACCUGGGAACGGCCGUUGAAACUGGCGAACUGGAGUGUGGCAGAGGGGGGUGGAAUUCCGCGUGUAGCAGUGAAAUGCGUAGAGAUGCGGAGGAACACCGAUGGCGAAGGCAGCCCCCUGGGCUAACACUGACGCUCAGGCACGAAAGCGUGGGGAGCAAACAGG